CUCACAUCUGUCAGUCAACACAGCAGAAAGCACAACCACCAUGACUCUCAUCACCAUCCUCAUCUGGACGCUGACCUGCUGCUGUUUUACAGGAUGCAGCGGUCAGGUGACUGUGACUCAACCUCCAGUACUGACAUCUACUCCUGGAAACACUGUCACUCUGACCUGUAGGACCAGCCAAGCUGUUGGUGGCUGUAGUUACGGCCAGUGUAUGUUCUGGUAUCAACAGAAAUCUGGGCAAAUUACAAAGCUCCUAAUUCGACAUGUAAGCAUAAGACAUUCAGGAACACCAACUCGAUUUAGUGGCAGUGGAAGCAGCUCUGACUUCUCUAUGACCAUCAGUGGAGUUCAGGCUGAAGAUGCAGCAGUUUACUACUGUCAGAGUUACCACUACAUAAACAGUGCUAAUGUGUUCACACAGUGUUUUGUAGUUGUACAAAAACCUCCCUCAGUCAGACUGCAGAGAAACUGA